rnacentral:lncRNA from 1 species
ACACAAACCUCCAUGAGCCAUCAUUCUUUACUAGUAAAACAGGUGAGGAGAAAGGGAUGGAAAUAGGCUGAAUGAGUGAAUUUUUCAGCAUUUCAGUAACCAAUUUUUCAAUUUCGUUUUUCUGAAAAUGUGGGUAUCUAUAAGGUCUUAUGCUGAAAGGCUGAGUAUUGGGUAGCAAUGAGCCAUCCUUCUUUACUAGUAAAAUAGGUGAGGAGAAAGGCUGGAAAUAGGCUGAAUGAGUGAAUUUUUCAGCAUUUCAGUAACCAAUUUUUCAAUCUCGUUUUUUCUGAAAAUGUGGUUAUCUAUAAGGUCUUAUGUUGAAAGGCUGAGUAUUGGGUAGCAAUGGAAUAUAAUGAUUAUAAUGUUUGAAAGGUGGUAGGGCUGAAGGUGUUUAGAAUAUAGCUUGGUACUUGUUUAGGAGUAACUGUAAUUCAUAAUUGGGUAUAUCAUCUUCAGGAGCUGACUUGUUCUCCUCACUUGAUGGGACAACAAUGUAAACAAGAAGAAACUGAAAAUUUGCCCCACUUCAAUUUAGUAAUAGCUCAUAAUUGUUACUAGCAACAGCUUGGUUGUAGAAGACAAAUCUCUUAUGGCCUGCAAAGUAAUCAGCCUUCCUUCCUCCUAAAGGUCACAGUGGAGUAGUGAAAAUCAAAUAGGAAGGAUCAAAUAGCUUCAUCCAAUUUACUCCCAAUAUGAUAUCAAAAUUACCUAUAUCUAGCACCCUCAAAUAAAAUGUAAACUUGAAAUAUUGAACCCACUAAGUAAAUCUAAGACACAUAUGAGUGCUGGUCAUCCUUCUACCAUCAGCCACUGUUGUUGCCAUCUCAGGAACCUCUAUCAAGGGUAGUUUUAACUCAGCAGCCAUUCUAGCAUCCAUGAAACUGUGGAUACUCCCACUAUCCAUCAAUAUUAUGAACUACCUAUUCUUAUAUUGUCCCAAAACCCUCAUAAUUGCUUCUCCUUCACUACCCUCUAUAGCAUUUAAGGACAAAGUCAUCUCUUCCUUUUUCAGUUCCUUCCUCUCCCUUUAGCAUCUCAUGCCAUUCCUUAUCCACCUCCAACUCAAGUUCCUCUCUUUGCAUGGCCAUUAUAGGUUUUUGUUUGCAUUGGUGACCUAGA